rnacentral:rRNA from 1 species
GGGGUGUUAGGGCACGACACCGGAGAGGGAGCCUGAGAAACGGCUACCACAUCCAAGGAUGGCAGCAGGCGCGCAAAUUACCCAAUCCCGACACGGGGAGGUAGUGACAAUAAAUAACAAUACGGGGUUCUUUAGGAUCUCGUAAUUGGAAUGAGUACAAUUUAAAUCUCUUAACGAGGAACGAUUGGRGGGGCAAGUCUGGUGCCAGCAGCCGCGGUAAUUCCAGCUCCAAUAGCGUAUAUUAAAGUUGUUGCAGUUAAAAAGCUCGUAGUUGAAUUUCGGGGUUAGUAGGUUGGUCAUGCCUCUGGUGUGUACUGAUCUCACUGAUUCCUCCUUCCUGAUGAACCUUAAUGCCAUUAAUUUGGUGUUUUGGGGAAUUUGGACUGUUACUUUGAAAAAAUUAGAGUGUUUAAAGCAAGCUAACGCUUGAAUACAUUAGCAUGGAAUAAUGAAAUAGGACGUUCGAUCCUAUUUUGUUGGUUUCUAGGAUUGACGUAAUGAUUAAUAGGGAUAGUUGGGGGCAUUAGUAUUCAAUUGUCAGAGGUGAAAUUCUUGGAUUUAUUGAAGACUAACUACUGCGAAAGCAUUUGCCAAGGAUGUCUUCAUUAAUCAAGAACGAAAGUUAGGGAUCGAAGACGAUCAGAUACCGUCGUAGUCUUAACCAUAAACUAUGCCGACUAGGGAUCGGAUGAUGUUAAUUUUUUAAUGACUCAUUCGGCGCCUACGGAACAG